rnacentral:lncRNA from 1 species
AAAUAUGUGAGUGGGGCGGAUUUUAUGAGAGUGACGUGUGAUGAGAGAUUCUGAGAGAUUUUGUGAGAGAUUUUGUGAGUAUUUCCUUUUCUUUUUGUUUUUUAUGUUGCCACGCAGAGUGAGGGUGAGUGUGAGGAGGGAAAUAUGUGAUUUUGUUGAAGAAUCCAAUGCAAAAAUAUAUAUAUUUAUUUAUUUAUUUUACACUUAUUAUUUAUUUAAGAAAAUAAAAU